CUGGCGUACUAAAUUAUAAUCCUGGUACCUUUGAUAACUAUUAACACCACUGGGUCGAUGCCACUGCUGGUGGACGUUUCGUCCCCGAGGGUAUCACCAGCCAGUAGUCAACACUUCAAACACUUCGGUGUUGACAUGAAUAUCAAUAAUGUGGUCAUUUUUAUAAAUUUCCUGUUCACAAAACUCUGAAUUUUUCGAAAAACUAAGGGUUUUCUUAUCCCAGGC
rnacentral:lncRNA from 1 species